rnacentral:rRNA from 1 species
UACGGGGGGGGCAAGCGUUGUUCGGAAUUACUGGGCGUAAAGGGCUCGUAGGCGGCCAACUAAGUCAGACGUGAAAUCCCUCGGCUUAACCGGGGAACUGCGUCUGAUACUGGAUGGCUAGAGGUUGGGAGAGGGAUGCGGAAUUCCAGGUGUAGCGGUGAAAUGCGUAGAUAUCUGGAGGAACACCGGUGGCGAAGGCGGCUCACUGGACCGGUACUGACGCUGAGGCACGAAAGCGUGGGGAGCAAACAGG